rnacentral:tRNA from 1 species
UUGGGGGUGGUGCAACUGGCAACACGCCGGACUCUGACUCCGGAGAUCCAGGUUCGAUUCCUGGCCCCCGAGCCA